GUAACGGCGAGUGAAGCGGCAACAGCUCAAAUUUGAAAUCUGGUCACCUUACGGAGGCCCGAGUUGUAAUUUGAAGAGGAUGCUUUUGGCGAGGUGCCUUCCGAGUGCCCUGGAACGGGACGCCACAGAGGGUGAGAGCCCCGUAUGGUUGGACACCGAGCCUAUGUAAAGCUCCUUCGACGAGUCGAGUAGUUUGGGAAUGCUGCUCAAAAUGGGAGGUAAACCCCUUCUAAAGCUAAAUAUUGGCCAGAGACCGAUAGCGCACAAGUAGAGUGAUCGAAAGAUGAAAAGCACUUUGAAAAGAGAGUUAAACAGCACGUGAAAUUGUUGAAAGGGAAGCGCUUGCGACCAGACUUGCGCCCGUCGGAUCAACCGUCGCUUGUCGGCGGCGCACUCCGGCGGGCUCAGGCCAGCAUCAGUUUUCCCGGGGGGAGAAAGGCGGUGGGAAUGUAGCUCCUAGGAGUGUUAUAGCCCGCCGCGUAAUACCCUCGGGGGGACUGAGGACCGCGCAUCUGCAAGGAUGC
rnacentral:rRNA from 2 species